ACCAGUGACCAUAGCACAGUGGAAAUACCCGUUCCCAUACCGAACACGGAAGUCAAGCACUGUAGCGCCGAUGAUACUUGGUUCGUCCCGGGAAAGCAGGCAGUUGCUGGUU
rnacentral:rRNA from 1 species